GAAAAUUAGUCUAAGCAAAACAUAAUUAGAAAGAUAAACAUACUUCCUUCUUAAGCAUACGAUAUAUGCAAAAGCCUAAUAGAAAGUAUUUUGCAGCCUUUGCUCUUCAGUGUUAUCUGUGUCACAGCUACCCAUUCCCAUCCCUCCCUCUGAGACCCAUUAGAGCAGAUAAUUAUGAGUUGACUAGAUACCGGGAAGAGUCAAAUUAAGCAGUGAUACAACCAGCAAGAGCUAUGCAAAUUCUUUCCCUCCCACUCAGCAGAUGGUUCUCUGAUAGGCUCUUGUGCAAGCUCGUGGUUGGACACGAUUUGGAAAUGCAGUCAAUGUAUUGCUGUGAACCUAGGCAACUAGCAGCCUAGGAAGAGAUCACUAAUAGCCUCCUCCUCUCUUCCUUUCUUCUUUCCCUCCAACCUUCUGUCCUGGGCGUCUGGCACUGCAUUAAGAUGCUUGGCAUUCUGAUUCAAGGUUUAAUUUCUGAAAUCUUCCAAAUGGCUCACUGCUGGCACUAAUGGAAAAUCUCAUAUUGUAUGGAGGAUCUGUGAGGCUUCAGUACAGAACAUCAGCAUAUACUGUUUCUGAUCACCUGACAGCAUUCUGGCUGCAUCCACAAUAAUUGCCGUAUGUAAAACAUCAUUCUCUCUCCACCUGUAUCAUCUUGAGACCAACAACUCAGAUUUGCUGUUCGGAGUUUGCCAUGGUAUAGAGUGAAGAUAAUUUGAUCGCCACAGGAAUUCAGCCUCUGAUUGGGGCCUUGCUGUGUUCUAAUCAACGAAACUAAUGAACUAUAUACACUAAGCUGUUUUGUGCCAGGCACCGUGUCAAAUACUAGAAGAGAGCAAAUGUGGAAAUGGACAAAGGGGAAGAUUGCAGAGAAAAGAGCCCACUCUAUGAGAUGGAUUGAAACUCUAAGAAAGUACCAAGGUCUCACAGCCAGGCUGUGGUAAAUAAUCCCUGAAAACACAAUAUUCAUUGCCACUCCUACCUCCUGAAUUACUGUAUUGCCAUGUUUUAAACAUUCUGGAACAAAGGCUCUACAAACCAGCUUUCCUGGUGGCGCAGUGGUUAAGAAUCCACCUGCCAAUGCGAGGGACACGGGUUCGAGCCCUGGUCCAGGAAGAUCCCACAUGCCAAGGAGCAACUAAGCCCAUGCGCCACAACUACUGAAGCCUGCGCGCCUACAGCCCGUGCUCAGCAGCAAGAGAAGCCACCGUGAUGAGAAGCCCACUCACUGCAACUAGAGAAAGCCCACGUGCAGCAACGAAGACCCAACA